CUCUCAUGUGGAUGGGUUCUGUACUCUAUGAUGUUGCGUGCUUUGGUCUUGCAAUUAUUACAAGUUGUUCGGUGCAAAACUUGGUGAUUCUGGUGACAGUUCCCAAGAUGAAGGAUGGGGAUGAUGUGAUGCAGUAACUUGUCCAGUUUCACUCCCUUGAAUAUAUUUGAAGAGGCGUUGCGUAUAGAAGUCUACGGAGUAACAAGACCUAGAGAGCUAUCAUUUCUUUGUAGUGUGCACUGUUCAUCAUUUCGGAAGUACUCUUGGCAUAAUAUAAAUGUAUGUAUAAAUCAUCAAGCUGCUAGCAUGCUGGAAAAUAUUCAGUUUAUCUUAUCUUAGACUGCUCAUAUCCUCAUGCUAUUGUUAGGUAACUGAAACGAUGCAACAAGACAAAUGCUACCAAUGACUGUUCUUAUGGUCUGGUAUAGAGGUUUAUUUUCCUCGGA